GAACAAGCCGUCAUCGGUGAAUCAGGAAAGAAGGCAGGACCGCCUGAGAGUGGCAAGGUGCUCCAGAGCGUUUUACAGAUAUUCUCACAGAGAUGGCAGAGCCAGACCUUCCCUCUCUCACCCAAGGAGGCCUCGCACGGGCAGAAAAGUGCAGGGCUCAUGCCUCCACCAGGGUGGGAAGUCCCACUGGCUGAGCACCUGCUGGGUGCUGGGCAGCGUGCAUGACGCUCUCCCUGGGGUCACUCAGUCCUCGUCAGAACCCUGGGAGGUGGGCUCCAUCACCCUCUGGUCACAGGAUCACCUAACUGCAGUAUUGGCCAGACUUCUGAUAUCCAAUCUCAUUUCACAAGCGAGAGAAUGAGGCCGCCCAGGGAGGCCCACGGCGGGCGCAGGAACCACACCACUGGCUGCGUGGCUGUGCAGCUGCGGGGGGAGCCGGUGUCAGGACUCCAGAAUGAGCACUCACAUCUGUCUCCUGUGAUGCAGGCUCACGUCUCUCUUCACACUUACCCCACCAUCAGCAUACGGAGCAGAGAAUCACGGGGCCUCUGCUGCAAUAACUAUGCUGGCGCUGGACUGGGGUUUAUUUUCUCCUGACCUGAGUAAAAACAGCGUCUUGACAUUUACAGCAUUCUUCCACUGCAAACCUUCGUGUGAAAUUGAACAUGAUCCCCAGUAAUAAAAUAUUCAAUUAAUUAAACCCUCAA